rnacentral:rRNA from 1 species
UACGUAGGUGGCAAGCGUUGUCCGGAUUUACUGGGCGUAAAGAGCGCGCAGGCGGUCGUUCAAGUCGCGUGUGAAAGCCCCCGGCUCAACUGGGGAGGGUCACGCGAUACUGAUCGACUCGAAGGCAGGAGAGGGAAGUGGAAUUCCCGGUGUAGUGGUGAAAUGCGUAGAUAUCGGGAGGAACACCAGUGGCGAAGGCGGAUCUCUGGACAGCUCCUGACGCUGAGGCGCGAAGGCUAGGGGAGCAAACGGG